rnacentral:rRNA from 1 species
AAUCAACGCUGGCGGCGUGCCUCAGACAUGCAAGUCGAACGCGAAAGUUCCCUUCGGGGGAUGAGUAGAGUGGCGCACGGGUGAGUAACACGUAGGUAAUCUACCUUUGGAUGGGGAAUAACAACCGGAAACGGUUGCUAAUACCGCAUAAUGCAGCGGCACCUAAUGGUGACAGUUGUUAAAGCGGGGGAUCGAAAGACCUCGCGUCUGAAGAGGAGCCUGCGGCGGAUUAGCAGUUGGUAAGGUAACGGCUUACCAAGGCGACGAUCCGUAGCCGGCCUGAGAGGGGCGGUCGGCCACACUGACACUGACAUACGGGUCAGACUCCUACGGGAGGCAGCAGUCGGGAAUUUUGGGCAAUGGGCGAAAGCCUGACCCAGCAACGCCGCGUGAAGGAU